rnacentral:rRNA from 1 species
AGGACGAACGCUGGCGGCGUGCUUAACACAUGCAAGUCGAGCGGAAAGGCCCUUCGGGGUACUCGAGCGGCGAACGGGUGAGUAACACGUGAGCAAUCUGCCCUUAGCUUCGGGAUAGCCCCGGGAAACCGGGAUUAAUACCGAAUACGACCUCGGCCGACAUCGGCCUUGGUGGAAAGUUUUUCGGCUAGGGAUGAACUCGCGGCCUAUCAGCUUGUUGGUGGGGUAAUAGCCUACCAAGGCGACGACGGGUAGCCGGCCUGAGAGGGCGACCGGCCACACUGGGACUGAGACACGGCCCAGACUCCUACGGGAGGCAGCAGUGGGGAAUAUUGCGCAAUGGGCGAAAGCCUGACGCAGCGACGCCGCGUGGGGGAUGAAGGCCUUCGGGUUGUAAACCCUUUCAGCAGGGACGAAGCGAGAGUGACGGUACCUGCAGAAGAAGCGCCGGCUAACUACGCGCCAGCAGCCGC